UCACAAAUUACCACCAAUUCCCAAUUAACCCAAAUCGUAAAAAUCAAUUCCCAAAUUGCAUAAACCCUAUUUUCAAUUGAACUAAACACCUAGCUCUAAACUCAAUUACUCAGCACUGUCAAUCGACCACUAUCGAUUCUCAGCUCGAUUCUCCGUCGGCCGUCGCUUCGUCUCGUCGUGUCAAUCGCCGAUGACGGCAGAUUUUGCGAAGAAGUUGCGUUUCAUUGAUUAAUCCCCUUCAAAAGUGUUCCGUUUUUCAACUACAACAGGUAUGGACCUAUUCUCGACAUCCACUAGCUAGCCGACAUUGGAUAAUUUAACUCCCCAUAACUGGGAUGAUGAAAGAAUGAAUACACAACAGUGUUAGUAGCCCGCCAAAUGAAAAUGAGAAUGAUAAUCUCUUUUCAUAUGAGAAAGAGAGCUAAGACAUCUGCCAUUUAGAUUGGAUUUAAAGAAGUGUUCUUUUCUAACGGUGCGAAGAAGGCAAAGUGUAUCCACUGUAAAUCCAAGCUUCAAAUUACUGCAACCAGAAGCACUACACGAUUUACAAGACAUCUAAAAAGAAGUGUGAGGCCAAUAGCUUCCAUUAGGCAACAACAUAUUAAUUUUUUCCUUGUCGAUUCUAGUGUUGGAGCAUCUUUUCUUCUUGCUCUUACCGUCAAGUUUAACAUGAUGAAGAUGUGGGAAUUGAUUGCAUAAUGGGUGCUUAUGCAUGAGCACCCAUUUACCAUUGUGGAGGAGGAGAGUUUGAACAACAUGAUGACAUAUGGGAUUCUAGAAUGGUCUAGUGUUUCGCGCAAUACUUGUAAAAAUUAUUGUGCAAAGGCAUAUGAAAUGGAGAAACAAGAGUUGAAGACAUUGAUGAAAAGUACUAGGAGGAUUAGUUUGACCACAUAUUUAUGGAAUGCUGACAACCAAAAGAUGGAGUAUAUGGUUUUGAUAAGGCACUAGAUAGAUAAUAAUUGGAGGUUGAACAAACAUGUUCUUAACUUUGUUCGAUUUCCUCCUCCACAUGGUGGUGUGUAGAUUGUUGGUGCAAUUUACAGGUGCUUGACGGAAUGAGAAAUUGAACACAAGGUCAAGACGAUAUCAAUGGACAAUGGUACUAGCAAUGAUGUUGCAAUUAGGGUGUUGAAGGAAAAUUUUGUAGUGACAAGGCGGCUCAGUUGUGGGGAUAAAAUGUUUCAUGUCAGAUGUUAUGCACACAUCUUAAACCUGAUGGUGCAAGAUAGUUUUUGGCAGAUUAGGCUUACUAUCGACGAGACCCAUGAGAGUAUGUCAUUCAUCAAUGCUUCGAAGGAUAGGCUGAAGGUUUUUGUAGAGAUUGUGCAACAAGUGCAUUUGCCGUUGAAGACUUUUUCUUGAUUGUAAAACAAGGUGGAAUUCAAUCUAUGACAUAUUAGCAACUGCAAUUAAGUUCAAAGAACUGUUUCCAAGAUCCAAAGAAAGGAUUUGGGUUAUAAACAUUCUCCAGAUGAUGAAGAUUGGGUGAAAGUAGAGAAAGUCUGUGAGAUUCUAAAGGUUAUUAGUACAAUGACCAAUAUCAUCUCAGGGAGUAAUUAUCCAACAUCAAAUGUAUUCUGAAGCAAGUAUGUAGAAUCAAAGUCUUAUUGGAUAAAAAGAGUGAAAGUGAAGAUGAAUUCAUUAAAAACAAGGUGAGAAAAAUGAGGGUGAUUGAGUUCUCUUUCCUUAAGAUGUAUUUUUACUUUGAUGCACAGACAGAUACUACAAGUGUCUAGGAUGCCUUGUAUGAGGUACAUGGGGAAUAUGUCGUUGAUAGUCAAUCAUCUAGUGUAGCCCAUAGAAGUACAAGUGAAAGGGUUGGACUUGGAGUAAUUGUUGAGAGGACUACGGAAGGAGAAUGCUUGGAUUGGGAUGAAUUUGAUGAUUUUCUGGAUGAGAUUGAAAUUAUUGAGCCAAAUCAAUCUGAGUUGGAUAUUUAUCUGAGCGAGGCAUGUUAUAACUGUUAAGGUGAUUAUGAUGAUUUCAAUGCUUUGGAUUGGUGGAAGACAAAUGCUUUGAAGUACCCUAUCUUAUCUAAGAUGACUCGUGAUAUACUAAUCAUUCAUAUCACUAUGAUGGCUUCAGAGUCUACUCUCAAUGCCGGUAGUAGAGUUUUUGGCACGUAUCGAUAUUCGUUGUCUCCUGAAACGGUGGAAAUGCUAUUAUGUGGAGCCGAUUCGUGUCGCAUUUUAAAUGAUAGAGAAGCAACCAUUGGAGAUUCAACUUCCCAUCUCGGAAGCACUAUUUUAAAACUCGGAUUGGACUUGUCGGUUGGAUCGGUCUGAUUGGGACCUGGUAGCUUCUUUGGUCCGGUUCAGGUUUUAGGGGGGUUUUUGUAAUAUUUCAAAUUUUAUCAGGAUUAAUUGGUAAUUUUUAGGGGUGUUUAGGAGAUAUGUCAAAAUUUUAGGGAUUAAUUGGUAAUUUUUUGGGGUAUUUUUGAAAUGAAUAAAAAUUUUAGGAAUUAAUUUGAAAAUUUUAGGGGUAUUUUUGUAAUAUACUAAAAUUUUAGGGAUUAAUUUAAUUUUUUAUAAAUAAAAGUAUUGUUGACGUCACCGGUCCAACUAGUCAAUCCAUGACCUGAUCACCUUAUUGGGUCUCACAAUGGGUCAAGUUUUAAAAUAAUGCUCAGAAAUUUGAGUUGUGUGAUGUGUAUUUUGAUAAUUUCUUAUGUUUGUUGUGGCUGAUUUAUGUAUUUUGU